rnacentral:rRNA from 1 species
UACGUAGGCAGCGAGCGUUGUUCGGAGUUACUGGGCGUAAAGGGUGCGUAGGCGGUUGUUUAAGUUUGGUGUGAAAUCUCCCGGCUCAACUGGGAGGGUGCGCCGAAUACUGAAUGACUAGAGUGCGGGAGAGGAUAGUGGAAUUCCUGGUGUAGCGGUGAAAUGCGUAGAUAUCAGGAGGAACACCGGUGGCGAAGGCGGCUCACUGGCUCGUAUCUGACGCUCAGGCGCGACAGCGUGGGGAUCAAACAGG